UUUAUAGAGAGUUUGAUCCUGGCUCAGGACGAACGCUGGCGGCGUGCCUAAUACAUGCAAGUCGAGCGGAUCUCUGAGGGAGCUUGCUCCGGAAGCGGUUAGCGGCGGACGGGUGAGUAACACGUAGGCAACCUGCCUGCAAGACCGGGAUAACAUUCGGAAACGGAUGCUAAGACCGGAUACGCAGUUUUCCCGCAUGGGGAGACUGGGAAAGACGGAGCAAUCUGUCGCUUGCAGAUGGGCCUGCGGCGCAUUAGCUAGUUGGUGAGGUAACGGCUCACCAAGGCGACGAUGCGUAGCCGACCUGAGAGGGUGAACGGCCACACUGGGACUGAGACACGGCCCAGACUCCU
rnacentral:rRNA from 1 species